AUUGAACGCUGGCGGCAGGCCUAACACAUGCAAGUCGAGCGAGUGGCGGACGGGUGAGUAAUGUAUGGGAAUCUGCCUGAUAGAGGGGGAUAACUACUGGAAACGGUGGCUAAUACCGCAUACUAUCGGAUGAACCCAUAUGGGAUUGGCUAGUAGGUGGGGUAAAGGCUCACCUAGGCGACGAUCCCUAGCUGGUCUGAGAGGAUGACCAGCCACACUGGAACUGAGACACGGUCCAGACUCCUACGGGAGGCAGCAGUGGGGAAUAUUGCACAAUGGGCGCAAGCCUGAUGCAGCCAUGCCGCGUGUAUGAAGAAGGCCUUAGGGUUGUAAAGUACUUUCAGCGGGGAGGCGUUACCCGCAGAAGAAGCACCGGCUAACUCCGUGCCAGCAGCCGCGGUAAUAC
rnacentral:rRNA from 1 species